rnacentral:rRNA from 1 species
CGAGGGUGAGUAAUGUCUGGGAAACUGCCCGAUGGAGGGGGAUAACUACUGGAAACGGUAGCUAAUACCGCAUAACGUCGCAAGACCAAAGAGGGGGACCUUGGGCCUCUUGCCAUCGGAUGUGCCCAGAUGGGAUUAGCUAGUAGGUGGGGUAACGGCUCACCUAGGCGACGAUCCCUAGCUGGUCUGAGAGGAUGACCAGCCACACUGGAACUGAGACACGGUCCAG